CCUACGGGUUGCAGCAGUGGGGAAUAUUGCACAAUGGGCGCAAGCCUGAUGCAGCCAUGCCGCGUGUAUGAAGAAGGCCUUCGGGUUGUAAAGUACUUUCAGCGGGGAGGAAGGUGUUGUGGUUAAUAACCGCAGCAAUUGACGUUACCCGCAGAAGAAGCACCGGCUAACUCCGUGCCAGCAGCCGCGGUAAUACGGGGGGUGUAAGCGUUAAUCGGAAUUACUGGGCGUAAAGCGCACGCAGGCGGCCUGUCAAGUCGGAUGUGAAAUCCCCGGGCUCAACCUGGGUACUGCAUUCGAAACUGGCAGGCUAGAGUCUUGUAGAGGGGGGUAGAAUUUCAGGUGUAGCGGUGAAAUGCGUAGAGAUCUGAAGGAAUACCAGUGGCGAAGGCGGCCCCCUGGACAAAGACUGACGCUCAGAUGCGAAAGCGUGGGGAGCAAACAGGAUUAGAUACCCGAGUAGUC
rnacentral:rRNA from 1 species